UACGUAGGGGGCGAGCGUUGUCCGGAGUUACUGGGCGUAAAGCGCUUGUAGGCGGUCCACCAAGUUUGGGGUGACAGUUGCCGACUUAAUCGGCAAAGUGCCUCAAAGACUGGCGGACUUGAGGGCCACAGAGGGACAUGGAACUCCAGGUGUAGUGGUGAAAUGCAUAGAUAUCUGGAAGAACACCAAAGGCGAAGGCAGUGUCCUGGGUGGUCGCUGACGCUGAGACCCGAAAGCGUGGGGAUCAAACAGG
rnacentral:rRNA from 1 species